UAGCUGUCAUAUGACAGAGUAUAAAAAUUUGGAUGGAAUUAUCAAUGUAGGAAGUGUUUUAAAUAGUAAUAAAAGUGAUGAUAGUGUAAAUGUGCAAACUAAUUCUAAUAAAUUUUCUUCAUAUUCAUUUCUAACUGAAUCAAAUUUCAAGUAUGGAACAUUAACCAAUAAAAUGGACUUUGCAGUCUAUUAUGAGCUUGAUGUAUUCAACUAAUGAUGGUCGUUUUAUUUUGACUGAUGCAAAAGUAAACCAUGAACAUUUAUCUAAUGAUGCUCAAAAUACACUUACGAGACCUAAUAAAUUAUUUAUUUAAAGACAAAGCUCGGGGAACUGAUUUUUAAUUUCGGAAAAUUUCUUCAAUUAUCAUUGAAUUACUUCCAAAAGAACAAGAAGUAGGAUAUAGAAAGUAUAUUUUAUACUAUCAAGUCAAAAUAAUUCCAUGCAAAAGAAGAAUUAGUGAAACAUUGACAAAAUUGUGUACGCCAGUUUUGGAGCAUAGGUGCUAUUGAAAGUAAACGAAAAAAUAAAAACUUCUCUGAAACAUUACCAAUUUUAACAUUUUCUGAUGAAGCUGAAUCAGCAAAAGUUUGGUUAAGCACAAUUGGGUUUUUUCUAACUUUGAUGAGAUUAAAAAACAAUGGAAAUAAGAAUGGCUGGAAUUCGAGGUUUAAAAUAGCAUUACUGGUCGUCAUUUGUCUAAAAAUUUUAAAUCAUGGCCUAUUUUAUGUAGUCCUAAAGGAUAUAAUCUGGUUUUUUGAAGAUUUUUUUAUGAAAUAUCCAGAAACAAAAAACUAUUAACAUAAUUGGCUAAACUUUAUUAAAAAGUGGAUUUUGUUUUCAAAUAACUUAUUGAGCUUACAUAGAAAUUUAGUGAAAGAUAAUUAUGCUAAUGACUUAUUAAAACAACUUGAUACUAUACAACUGAAUAUACUAGAACAAGCUACGCAUUGAAACUUCUAUUGAUUCCAUAUCUAGUACUAACUAAAUCUCAAAUGAAAACAAACAAAAAGUCUGGAAAAUCAUCGCUAGUUGAAUGUGUUUCAUCUUUUGUUAUAAAUGUUUCAGUAGGUUAUUAUUAUAAAUAUAUGAAUAGAUGCACACCUUUAAGUUCCUAAUUCAUUAAGUAUUUUAGUUUAUAUAAAUUUAAACUUGUGUCACAUUUAUAUGUUGUAUUGAAAUUAUUUAUAUAAAUAUUCAUUUUCAAAAUUUAAAUGAUUCAGAAUUUAAAAUAAUUUACCUGACUUAACUCCAACUAUUAAAAGAGUUUAGGGUACUGGUAAAAUCUACGAGACUCUUAAAUAUAUUUUAUAACUGUUAUAUAGUUGUAUAUUUAAAAAUGUAUAUCUUAUUGUUUAUUAAUAAUAUACAGUAUGAUAUUAACUUAAUUUUAUUGUAAUUAAUUUGUGAAUGUAUUUUGUACUUACAAUUUUAACAAAGUAAAUGAUUCUAUUAUGUUAUGUAAUAAUCUGUAUAUUUUAAAAUAUCUUUACUACCCCAAUCCAACCUAUUAUUAUUAUCUAAUAAAGUUUCCUUUUCUAUUUUAACUAAAUGGAUGUUUCUAUAUUAGUAUUUCUAUGUAAAAUUUAGUUUAUAGAUAUGUGAUAAUUUUG